rnacentral:rRNA from 1 species
ACUCCUACGGGAGGCAGCAGUGGGGAAUAUUGCACAAUGGGCGCAAGCCUGAUGCAGCCAUGCCGCGUGUGUGAAGAAGGCCUUCGGGUUGUAAAGCACUUUCAGUCGUGAGGAAGGUAGUGUAGUUAAUAGCUGCAUUAUUUGUACGUUAGCGACAGAAGAAGCACCGGCUAACUCCGUGCCAGCAGCCGCGGUAAUACGGAGGGUGCGAGCGUUAAUCGGAAUUACUGGGCGUAAAGCGCAUGCAGGUGGUUUGUUAAGUCAGAUGUGAAAGCCCGGGGCUCAACCUCGGAAUAGCAUUUGAAACUGGCAGACUAGAGUACUGUAGAGGGGGUAGAAUUUCAGGUGUAGCGGUGAAAUGCGUAGAGAUCUGAAGGAAUACCGGUGGCGAAGGCGGCCCCCUGGACAGAUACUGACACUCAGAUGCGAAAGGCGUGGGAGCAAACAGGAUUAGAUACCCCGU